AUCGUAAUUCUGCAAAAUCUCAAGAUUUGUCUUGUAACCUAGCAACCGCCUUUUCUCGCACAUUUCAAUGCAUACUCACGUGAUUUCUCCACGUAUUCCGCCUAUCUUCAGAGGACGGAACCAUUGAGUUCUAUAAUAACUGGAGCGGCUAGAUCUCAAAAGAUGAUUCAAGUUUGUUUUUGCGUUUGAAUUUCGUAUCAGAGUAAUCAUGUAGACGUAUUUACAUGACUUGUGAAAAUUUUUAGCCAGAAGAAUCAUCGCAAAGUUAUGUCUUUUGGACUGACAAGUGACCAAAGAUCUACUGUUGGUACAUUCACAGGACCAAAUUCCGGCACAGUACCCCCAAGACACUGUCUUUCUGUAAAUGCAUUUAUUCGUUGUCUUGGAGUCAGAAACAAUGAAUUCUCGUUUUGCAAUGAAUCACUGACCUUUCUUGUUGUUCCAAGUUGUUGAUUGGCGGUACUUCAGUUCUUUCUUGUGAUGCCUGGAUUUCUUCUGUUUCACUCUCAUACAACAAUUCUUGCUCAACUGGCUCUUCAAGUGCAUUCUGGGACGUAAAUUAUUCAAGCCAUUGUCCAAUGUUAUAAAAACGAUGUUUCCAUAGUGUUGUGGGAGGGCUGUGAAAUGCCAUUCUUCAAAGUUUUGUCUGAUGAGCUUUUAACGCAGAAAUCACCGUUGCUAUUGUCGAUGCAAUCAACAUCAUUAUCGCGAAAUUCGCGCGAUGCGAAUGAACUUUUCAUACAGUGCUUGAUAAAGUGGUUUGGACGAUUAUGCAAAUAGUAUGGAACAUUCUCGUUGCAUUUUCUGUAUUGGCUGCUUUGUUUGAAGUUGAUGUCUUUGUAGUGCUGAUAAGAGUCUGGAAGAAAUGACUCUACCAUUGUUGUAACUACACCAUAUCUUGAUUUUUCUCAACAAUUACGAAGAUAUUUUUCAUAAUGCAAGUGCAUUGAAGAUGAAAUACUCAUAUCAAACAUGAAAUUGUUUACCAAUUAUUAUUAAACAUAACUUGUCAAUGUC